UGUAGACAUAAAACUAGUUGUAAAAUAAUUCUGAAAACGUAUAGAGGAAACAAGCUAGGGUUUAGUUGGGCCAUGUGUAAAAAGCCAAAAUGGGCGACAGGAAAAUUCUUUGCUCUCUGUGAUCCUAAAUAAACUGAGAAAUAUCAUAUCAACAUAUUUGCUAUUGUGUAAUUUGUAUCAAUAAAUCUAAUUUGUAUCAAUAAAUCUAAUUUGUAUCAAUAAAA